UUUUUCUUCAGGAAGCCUCUGUUUACACCGACCUCUACUGUUACAGCCAAAUACCCAAAUCGCUAAUCCCAAUCGUGCCGCUACUGAUUCCUCCAUGUCUUCUACAUCCGUAUAAACGACAUUGAGAGAGUUAGCUACAACCGAUUGUUACAUCAAUGUUUUCCUCCAUGAUCGAGAGAUAGAGUCGUCGUUUGGAGGAGUUUUUGAUGGUGCAACCCAGACAGAGCUUUAUUGCUUGCGAUUUGUGAAUUUGCAUUUUGAUCAAGGAAUAGAUUCGACAAAGAACACCUCAUUUGUGGGGUUAUGGAAUGGGCAGUGGGAGAGGAUGAAGAGCAUAUUGGAGGUACAGGUCAUACUAGAGGUGUCUCUCAAUUUGUAUUAGAUCUUUUGUAAUGUCAAGAGAGUGCCAUGCACGGUUAAUUGAAUUGUGUAAGAUUAAGGAUCCUAUCCUUGGGUUACUUUAAUUAUAUUUUUCUUCAUCU